GAUUAAACACUUCAGAAGAGGAAAACUUACAAGAGCAGAGGGACUCUCAAGGAAUAAAGAUCCAAUUAGCAUAACUGCACCACUUGCUUUCCUUUAUCCAGGGACACUCUUCCUCCACUCUUUGCAAACCUUGUCCUACUCAUCAUUCAAGUUGGAACAUCAGUGCUGCCUUUGCCUGUGUUUCCUUCCUUGUGUCCUUGCCACUUCCAUCUACAUUAGGACCUUGGUAUUUGAUCACAUAGCACCUUGACACUUUCCUGUGCAUGGGCACCAUCUUGAAAAUGAAUUAUCGUUAAAAGUUGCUAUUACCAACAAAGCAUUUUAAUGUUUCCAAUUGAAGCUGUAAUAGAUCCUUAUUCCAAGUCUCUAACCAGGUACUGUGAGAAAUCACCAUGCUUCGCUGUGGGAGAGAGAACAGAGGGGAUGCUGAAGCAGUGCCUUUGGAAGCUUCUAUCAAUGAAAGGAGAUGAUAAAAAUAAGCAGUUAUGGGAAGCAGUAUAAAGUACAUUAAAAAAGAAACAGUGGUCAUUGCAAUUCAAUAGCCAAAUCCACAGAAAAAAGGAAAAUAGCAAAAAGCUUAUCCUCAGUGUUCAGAGAGUUUGCUGAUGGCUUUGUAGAUGAUGCUCCUUUGGAGCAUUACAACACAGAGCCAGGCCAGAAUUUAGAAACUGUGUGUGGUGGGCACUACAAUAAAAAGACUA